rnacentral:tRNA from 3 species
GCCCCUGUAGCUUAAUGGAUUGAGCAGCUCUCUCCUAAGGAGAAGAUUAGAGGUUCGACUCCUCUCAGGGGCA